rnacentral:rRNA from 1 species
GGAUGAACGCUGGCGGCGUGCCUAAUACAUGCAAGUCGAGCGAACAGAUAAGGAGCUUGCUCCUUUGACGUUAGCGGCGGACGGGUGAGUAACACGUGGAUAACCUACCUAUAAGACUGGGAUAACUUCGGGAAACCGGAGCUAAUACCGGAUAACAUAUUGAACCGCAUGGUUCAAUAGUGAAAGGCGGCUUUGCUGUCACUUAUAGAUGGAUCCGCGCCGUAUUAGCUAGUUGGUAAGGUAACGGCUUACCAAGGCAACGAUACGUAGCCGACCUGAGAGGGUGAUCGGCCACACUGGAACUGAGACACGGUCCAGACUCCUACGGGAGGCAGCAGUAGGGAAUCUUCCGCAAUGGGCGAAAGCCUGACGGAGCAACGCCGCGUGAGUGAUGAAGGUCUUCGGAUCGUAAAACUCUGUUAUCAGGGAAGAACAAAUGUGUAAGUAACUGUGCACAUCUUGACGGUACCUGAUCAGAAAGCCACGGCUAACUACGUG